AAAGCAUUAAGGUAAGCUGAAGGUUUUGGAAUAUGUGCAGCUUCAACAUUGCUUCAGAGAAGCUAAUUUCACACUGAGUAAUGAAGGAUUGAAGUUUGCAGGACAGAUUUGGUAUGAUGAAUUUGAGCAGCUUCUAGCAAAACAAAGGCAGGCACAAAUGAUCUUAAUAGCAAGACAAAUGCGUUGGUUUUCGGAUUAGGCAAAUCAAAAGUAGUUUUUGUUGUAUACCAUGAAUUGUAUGUACAUCACAAUGGUGUAGGAAGUUAGAAAAUUUCUAAAGUUUAAGUAAACUAAUUCAGAAAGAUGUAAUUAGACUAAUUAUACAUACAAUUGUAUAUCCACACUUCAGAUCUUUGCA
rnacentral:lncRNA from 1 species